rnacentral:rRNA from 1 species
UACGUAGGGGGCGAGCGUUGUCCGGAUUUAUUGGGCGUAAAGAGCGUGUAGGCGGCCAGGUAGGUCUGCUGUGAAAACUCGAGGCUCAACCUCGAGACGUCGGCGGAAACCAUCUGGUUAGAGUCCGGAAGAGGAGAGUGGAAUUCCUGGUGUAGCGGUGAAAUGCGCAGAUAUCAGGAAGAACACCCGUGGCGAAGGCGGCUCUCUGGGACGGUACUGACGCUGAGACGCGAAAGCGUGGGGAGCGAACAGG